rnacentral:lncRNA from 1 species
GGGGCUGCACCAAGGGCAAGGAGUGGCUCCCACAUCUUCCUGAUGCCUUGAAUGGCCGGCCCAUGGCAGGGCAUGCCUGGAAGCCAGCAGUGGCUCCUGGUGCUGCUGGUGCUGAGAUACCUGCUGCCCACAGGUAAGGGUCAUUGCUGGUCCCGGUCCUCUGGGGGACGGGGGGAGAGGAUAUGGGUAUGCAAGAGUGUGGGCUUGCUCUUGGAUGGUGUUGAAUGUCAACUGCACUGGUCUUCCUUUUCAGCUUGGUUUCCACCCAACUGUCACUUCUUCCAUGUUUCCAAACAUCUCACCAACAAAGAUCAUUUUCCCUUCCCUUUUCCUCUUUACAGUCCUCUUCUCCACCUGACAGUACAUUCCACUGUUAUUGAUUUACUUGUUUAUCUAUCUCCUCCUCUGGCUUAUGAGCCCCCUAAGGACAGUGAACUGUUUUGUUCACUGAUUUGUCUCCAGCACCUGGAUCAAUACUUGGCAUAUUAUAGGCCCUUGUAACCUAGGUCCAGACAGGCUGGGGGUGGGAGGCACAGUGGCCAAAGACUCAAGUUUGGGGUUGAAUCCCACCUUCACUGGUCACAGCUAUGACUCCUGAAGCCAUUUGACUUGGUCUUCUGUGGCUCAGUUUUCCCCAUCUGCAAAAUGGACAUGAUGAUAAUAACAGGACUUAGCCUGCCAGGCACAUUGGCAAGAUGUGAUGGGGUUGUGGAGGUAAUGGCUGGCACACUGAGGGGCCACUGGGCAAUGAGAGUUACUGCUAUGAAGUGGGAAGGGCACAUAUGAGUCAAAGGAGGGGCAUGGAUGGGACCUUCUCUGCAGGGCACCCAGAAGAAACCACAAUUUCUAGGCAGGCUUGAGAAGAAGCUGCAAAGAGGAUUGAUGAUAACAUAGGGAGCUGGGAGACCGCUUAUCCCGUGGCCCCAUUUUUUUGAGGAGAAAACUGAGAUUCACUGAGGCUUGGGAUUUCCCAGGGCUCCCCUAACAGGACAGGCAGGUCGAGGUCCCAGACUCCUCUCUCUUAACUCAGUGCCACAUCCUUUCUUCCUCCCCUGGGCAGGUCACUCAGUCACUCAAUGGGCAUUUAUUUGUUGAGUCCCUGCCACAUACCCCGUAGGCUGUGGGGACACGGCAGGCCUGAGGCCGUCACUGAGAAAGAAGCAACACAGUGGGAGAGAUGAGGGGUUUGAAAGUUGUAUUUGUUUCCCAGAGCUUCCCUAACAAAAGAUACCAUUGCCUGGAAGCUUUAACGACAGAAAUUUGUCUCCCAGUUCUGGAGGCCAGAGGACUGAUGUCAAGGUGUCUAUCUGCAAGGUUGGUUCUUUCUGAGUGUUAUAAGGGAGAAUCUGGUCCAUGCCUCUCUCCUCGCUUCCAGUGGUCCCCUGGCAACCUUUGGCCUUCUUUGGCUUCCAGUGGCCUCCCUCCAGUCUCUGCCUUCAUCUCCAGUGUUCUGUGUGUGCUUUUCUGUGUCCAAAUUUCUCCUUUCUGUCAGGACACCAGUCUCUUUUUUUUUUUUUUCAGGGCCACACCCUCAGCACAUGGAAGUUCCCAGGCCAGGGGUCAAAUUGGAGCUGUAGCUACUGGCCUACACCACAGCCACAGCAAUGCCAGAUCCGAGCUGUAUCUGUGACCUACACCACAGCUCAUGGCAAGGCCAGAUCCUUAACCCACUGAGUGAGGCCAGGGAAUGAACCUGCAUCCUAAUGGAUGCUAGACGGAUUUAUUCACCGCUGAGCCACAACGGGAACUCCCAGAAGCAAUUCAAAUUAUUUUUUCUUUUCUUUUUGCCUUUUCUUGGGCCUCUCUCGUGGCAUAUGGAGGUUCCCAGGCUAGGGGUCUAAUCAGAGCUGUAGCCACCGGCCUACACCAGGGCCACAGCAAUGUGGGAUCCGAGCCGAAUCUGGGACCCACAUCACAGCUCCUUAACCCACUGAGCAAGGCCAGGGAUCAAACCCGCAACCUCAUGGUUCCUAGUCAGAUUCGUUAACCACUGCACCACAACGGGAACUCCCAAGAAGCAGUUCAAAUCUUAACAGAGAAAGGAAAGGCAGCUGAGUGAUGCUGGGGUGGGCUGGGAGGGGGGACCUUCUCCAAGAAGAUGGGGUCACAGGUGAGCCCUCUUGUCAGAAAGUGUCAUGCACUGGCCUGGCCUGAAGCAAGGUGGGGUGGGGUGGGGGAAUACCAGCCCAGGGGGUUAAGUCAAGGACACCUGAGCGGGGGGCGACCCGCUCAGGUCACCCCCGACCCACAUUGCAGAGGAAUAUGAAGUGAGAGAAAGAAGGAACUUUUACUCCGGUGGGUCUCAUAUUGAGGACAUAGCAGCAUCCCCUACAGGGCUUAUUAAAACAGUUCCUGGGGGAGUUCCUGUCAUGGCUCAGUGGAAACGAAUCUGACUAGUAUCCAUGAGGAUGCAGGUUCAAUCCCUGGUCUUGUUCAGUGGGUUCUGGAUCUGGCGUUGCCAUGAGCUGUGGCAUAGGUCACAGAUACAGCUCAGAUCCCACGUUGCUGUGGCUGCAAAGUAGGCUGGCAACUGCAGCUCCUACUAGACUUCUAGCCUAGGAACUUCCAUAUGCUGUGGGUGUGGCCCCUAAAAAAGAAAAAAAAAAAAAAAAUACUGUUGUUCGCAAAAACAAAAAACCUUUUCUGGGAGUAAGUUUGGAAUCUGCAUUCUAAUAAGUUAUCAGGAGACUCUGAUAAGACCAGUCAAAAUGGCCCAGGGAACCACAUUUUGAGAAUCACUGUCUUAUAACCUGGUCUGCGUCUGCUUUAUAAACAGAAGCAAUUUACUCUGCAAACAAAACGGAAAGUGAAAACCAAUAUCUCUAUGAACAUGUGCCAGCCAGGAAGCCCAUAGGAGCCUUCCUUUGAGAUGUGGGGCCCCAGUCUUGCCCACGUAAAAAUCAUUCCUGUGUAUGAGAGGGUGGGGGUAGGAAAAUGGGGUGUUGAAAUCCAGAUUCUUGGUUCCCACCUACUGAACUCAAAUUUCCAGGGAAGGAUGGAGGGAUAAAUUAGAAGUUUGGGAUUAACAUAUACACACCAUGGGAGUUCCUGCUAUGGCACAAUGGGAUCAGAGGCGCCUCUGCAGUGCUGGGACAUGGGUUCGAUCCCCAGCCCAACACAGUGGGUUAAGGAUCCAGAGCUGCAGCUCGGAUCUUAUCCCUGGCCUUGGGAACUCUGUAUGCCAUGGAGAGGCCAAAAAAGAAAAACAAAACAAAAUAUAUGCACACUACAAUAUACAAAAUAGAUGAUCAACAAGGACCUACUCUAGCCCAAGGAAUUAUACUCAAUAUUUUGGAAUAAGCUAUUAGGGAAAAGAAUCUGAAAAAGGAUAGAUAGAUAGAUAGAUAGAUAGAUAGAUAGAUAGAUAGAUAGAUAGAUAGAUAGAGAUAGAGAUAAUAGAAUCGCUUUGCUGUACACCUGAAACUAGCACAACAUUGUAAAUCAACUACACUUCAAU